ensembl:lncRNA
CUCGUCAGAGAGCCGUUGAAAUUCACAGUUCCAGCGCUGGAUAAACGUUAUGAUGAAGAGCUGAUGUUUGGUUCAUGUGAAUGGUUGCAUGUGUGGAGGAAGACCUGCUUCUUUGAAGCCGAUGAAGGAAGGGCGGCCCUUUGUUUAUUGGAUGUGUUUGAAAGGACUCUGACGGAAAGCAAGCGUGGAGAAAACCCAGUUCUCGAGCUUCCCCUCGGAAUCUGGCGUCCAUCCGGGAUCCCAGCAGGAACACUGGAUGAUCUUUUCAUGUUGUUUGGGAGGAAAGAAAAAAACAGUUCUUCUCUUAACUCUGUUCAGGGCAUUUUCAAGUGACUAGACAGAAUAUUUAAUAAAUGAAUGUACCGAGUCUUUCCUGGAAUGACACUUGACAAACACGCAGAGCCAAUGUUUAGAGCUGUUCUACUGUACGGAACAUCGAGCUGCUCUUUUCCAGUAACGCUAACGUACUGAUGUCUGUUUGUCAGAAUCUGUGACUGGAUGUUGUUGUGUUUUGGAAAAUGAGCAAGCUGUCAGGGUGAACAGGGUUUUAUCUGUCUGUCGGGAAACCAAACACUUCUGAGGAAAACUCGUCACUGGAUUCGCCAAAGUUUGUGAAUAGAAAAGCAGAAUGAUGGAUGGAUGGAUGGAGCAAUAGAAUGAUGUCAAGUCAAGUCAAGUCAAAUUUAAUUUCUAUAGCACAUUUAAAAGCAACAGAGUUACGCCAAAGUGCUAUACAACAAAACACAAUAUAUAAAAAGCAUAAUAGGAAACAUGCAUUAUAUUAAAAAAACAAACAAAAAACAUUAAAAUAGAAUCAGAGCAUACUGACAUCAAAACCUUAAACUGACAUUAAUCAAGUGAAAGUGACAUGACAUACAGCCAAGUAUAGUGACCCAUACUCAGAAUUCGUGCCCUGAGACACGAACCCACAACCUUAGGGUUGGGAAUCAAACUCUCUAACCAUUAGGCCAUGACUUCCCCCUAGGAAGUGCCAGAUGCCAGAGAAAACAAAUAAGAUUUGAGAACAGACUUAAAACUGGCUAGUAAAGGAGCAAGUCUCACAUUUACAUGUGAUUCUGUUUUUCUGUCCAUCCAUCCACCCAUCCAUCAUUCUUUUGCUCCAUCCAAUGAUGGAUGGAUGGAUGGCCAGAAAAACAGAAUGAUGGAUGGAUAUUGAAUGGAGCAACAGAAUGAUGGAUGGAGCAAUAGAACAAUGGAUGGAUGAAUGAAUAGAAAAAAAUAUGGAACAAAAUAAUAAUCGAUAGAUGGAUGGACAGAAAAACAUAGAAUGACAGAUGGAUGGACGGAUGGAUGGGGUGAUAGAACUAUGGAUGGAUGCACAGAAAAGCAGAAUGAUAUUAAAUGGAGCAACAGAAUGAUGGAAGAAUAAUGGAUGGAUGGAUGGAUGGAUGGAUGAUGGAUGGAGCAAUAGAACAAUUGAUGGAUGAAUGGAGCGAUAGAAUGAUGAUGAUGGAUGGAGUGAUAGAACGAUGGAUGGAGUGAUAGAACAAUGGAUGGAUGGAUGGAGCAAAAGAAUGAUGGAUGAGUGGAUGGAACGAUGGAUUGAUGGAUGGAUGGAGUGAUAGAACGAUGGAUGGAUGGAUGGAUGGAUGGGUGGAUGGA